UAGGGAAUCUUCCACAAUGGACGCAAGUCUGAUGGAGCAACGCCGCGUGAGUGAAGAAGGCUUUCGGGUCGUAAAACUCUGUUAUUGAAGAAGAACGUGUGUGACAGUAACUGGUCAUGCAGUGACGGUAUUCAAUCAGAAAGUCACGGCUAACUACGUGCCAGCAGCCGCGGUAAUACGUAGGUGGCAAGCGUUGUCCGGAUUUAUUGGGCGUAAAGCGAGUGCAGGCGGUCUUUUAAGUCUGAUGUGAAAGCCUUCGGCUUAACCGAAGAAGGGCAUCGGAAACUGGGAGACUUGAGUGCAGAAGAGGAGAGUGGAACUCCAUGUGUAGCGGUGAAAUGCGUAGAUAUAUGGAAGAACACCAGUGGCGAAGGCGGCUCUCUGGUCUGUAACUGACGCUGAGGCUCGAAAGCGUGGGGAGCAAACAGGAUUAGA
rnacentral:rRNA from 1 species